rnacentral:rRNA from 1 species
UACAGAGGUCUCAAGCGUUGUUCGGAUUCAUUGGGCGUAAAGGGUGCGUAGGUGGCGCCGUAAGUCAGGUGUGAAAUUUCGGAGCUUAACUCCGAAACUGCAUUUGAUACUGUCGGACUAGAGUACAGAAGGGGCAACUGGAAUUCUCGGUGUAGCGGUGAAAUGCGUAGAUAUCGAGAGGAACACCUGCGGCGAAGGCGGGUUGCUGGGCUGAUACUGACGCUGAGGCGCGAAAGCCAGGGGAGCGAACGGG